rnacentral:rRNA from 1 species
GCCGGCGUGCCUAAUACAUGCAAGUCGAGCGAGCGGAACUAACAGAUUUACUUCGGUAAUGACGUUAGGAAAGCGAGCGGCGGAUGGGUGAGUAACACGUGGGGAACCUGCCCCAUAGUCUGGGAUACCACUUGGAAACAGGUGCUAAUACCGGAUAAGAAAGCAGAUCGCAUGAUCAGCUUUUAAAAGGCGGCGUAAGCUGUCGCUAUGGGAUGGCCCCGCGGUGCAUUAGCUAGUUGGUAAGGUAAAGGCUUACCAAGGCGAUGAUGCAUAGCCGAGUUGAGAGACUGAUCGGCCACAUUGGGACUGAGACACGGCCCAAACUCCUACGGGAGGCAGCAGUAGGGAAUCUUCCACAAUGGACGCAAGUCUGAUGGAGCAACGCCGCGUGAGUGAAGAAGGUUUUCGGAUCGUAAAGCUCUGUUGUUGGUGAAGAAGGAUAGAGGUAGUAACUGGCCUUUAUUUGACGGUAAUCAACCAGAAAGUCACGGCUAACUACGUGCCAGCAGCCGCGGUAAUACGUAGGUGGCAAGCGUUGUCCGGAUUUAUUGGGCGUAAAGCGAGCGCAGGCGGAAGAAUAAGUCUGAUGUGAAAGCCCUCGGCUUAACCGAGGAACUGCAUCGGAAACUGUUUUUCUUGAGUGCAGAAGAGGAGAGUGGAACUCCAUGUGUAGCGGUGGAAUGCGUAGAUAUAUGGAAGAACACCAGUGGCGAAGGCGGCUCUCUGGUCUGCAACUGACGCUGAGGCUCGAAAGCAUGGGUAGCGAACAGGAUUAGAUACCCUGGUAGUCCAUGCCGUAAACGAUGAGUGCUAAGUGUUGGGAGGUUUCCGCCUCUCAGUGCUGCAGCUAACGCAUUAAGCACUCCGCCUGGGGAGUACGACCGCAAGGUUGAAACUCAAAGGAAUUGACGGGGGCCCGCACAAGCGGUGGAGCAUGUGGUUUAAUUCGAAGCAACGCGAAGAACCUUACCAGGUCUUGACAUCUAGUGCCAUUUGUAGAGAUACAAAGUUCCCUUCGGGGACGCUAAGACAGGUGGUGCAUGGCUGUCGUCAGCUCGUGUCGUGAGAUGUUGGGUUAAGUCCCGCAACGAGCGCAACCCUUGUUAUUAGUUGCCAGCAUUAAGUUGGGCACUCUAAUGAGACUGCCGGUGACAAACCGGAGGAAGGUGGGGAUGACGUCAAGUCAUCAUGCCCCUUAUGACCUGGGCUACACACGUGCUACAAUGGGCAGUACAACGAGAAGCGAGCCUGCGAAGGCAAGCGAAUCUCUGAAAGCUGUUCUCAGUUCGGACUGCAGUCUGCAACUCGACUGCACGAAGCUGGAAUCGCUAGUAAUCGCGGAUCAGCACGCCGCGGUGAAUACGUUCCCGGGCCUUGUACACACCGCCCGUCACACCAUGGGAGUCUGCAAUGCCCAAAGCCGGUGGCCUAACCUUCGGGAAGGAGCCGUCUAAGGCAGGGCAGAUGACUGGGGUGAAGUCGUAACAAGGUAGCCGUAGGAGAACCUGCGGUUGGA